rnacentral:rRNA from 1 species
GACGAACGCUGGCGGCGUGCUUAACACAUGCAAGUCGAACGGUGAAGCGCUUUCCUUUUUGGUUGGUGUGGAUGAGUGGCGAACGGGUGAGUAACACGUGAGUAACCUGCCCCCUUCUUCUGGAUAACCGCAUGAAAGUGUGGCUAAUACGGGAUAUUCUGCGCCUGCUGCAUGGUGGGUGUGGGAAAGAUUGUGCCUUUGGGUGUUUUCGGUGGGGGAUGGGCUCGCGGCCUAUCAGCUUGUUGGUGGGGUGAUGGCCUACCAAGGCGGUGACGGGUAGCCGGCAUGAGAGGGUGGACGGUCACACUGGGACUGAGACACGGCCCAGACUCCUACGGGAGGCAGCAGUGGGGAAUAUUGCACAAGGGGCGCAAGCCUGAUGCAGCGACGCCGCGUGAGGGAUGGAGGCCUUCGGGUUGUGAACCUCUUUCGCCAGUGAAGCAGGCCUGCUCCUUGUGGGUGGGUUGACGGUAGCUGGAUAAGAAGCGCCGGCUAACUACGUG